CCUACGGGGGGCAGCAGUGGGGAAUAUUGGGCAAUGGGCGCAAGCCUGACCCAGCAAUGCCGCGUGAAGGAAGAAGGCUUUCGGGUUGUAAACUUCUUUGACAGGGGAAGAGCAGAAGACGGUACCCUGAAAACAAGACACGGCUAACUACGUGCCAGCAGCCGCGGUAAUACGUAGGUGGCAAGCGUUGUCCGGAUUUACUGGGUGUAAAGGGCGUGUAGCCGGGAAGGCAAGUCAGUUGUGAAAUCUGGAGGCUCAACCUCCAAAUUGCAUUUGAAACUGUUUGUCUUGAGUACUGGAGAGGCAGACGGAAUUCCUUGUGUAGCGGUGAAAUGCGUAGAUAUAAGGAGGAACACCAGUGGCGAAGGCGGUCUGCUGGACAGCAACUGACGGUGAGGCGCGAAAGCGUGGGGAGCAAACAGGAUUAGAUACCCCAGUAGUC
rnacentral:rRNA from 1 species